UCACAGGAAACACUUGUGCUUGAGGUGU
rnacentral:piRNA from 1 species